rfam:Schistosoma margrebowiei strain Zambia genome assembly, scaffold: SMRZ_contig0000092
CCACUGCUGAGGAGUCCCACAGUAGGAUGAAACGGUCGUCCAGUGC